UACGUAGGGGGCAAGCGUUGUCCGGAAUCAUUGGGCGUAAAGCGCGUGUAGGCGGCCAGAAAAGUCCGCUGUGAAAACUCGAGGCUCAACUUCGAGCUGUCGGUGGAAACUUUCUGGCUUGAGUCCGGAAGAGGAGAGUGGAAUUCCUGGUGUAGCGGUGAAAUGCGUAGAUAUCAGGAGGAACACCGGCGGUGUAGACGGCUUUCUGGACCGUAGCUGACGCUGAGACACGAAAGCGUGGGUAGCAAACAGG
rnacentral:rRNA from 1 species